rnacentral:rRNA from 1 species
GAUCAUGGCUCAGGAUGAACGCUGGCGGCGUGCUUAACACAUGCAAGUCGAACGAAGCAUUCCAACUCUCGGAGGAAGAAAUGACUGAGUGGCGGACGGGUGAGUAACGCGUGGGUAACCUGCCUUAUACAGGGGGAUAACAGUUAGAAAUGACUGCUAAUACCGCAUAACCCGCUAGUACCGCAUGGUACAGACGGAAAAGAUUUAUCGGUAUAAGAUGGACCCGCGUCUGAUUAGCUAGUUGGUGAGGUAAUGGCUCACCAAGGCGACGAUCAGUAGCCGGCUUGAGAGAGUGAACGGCCACAUUGGGACUGAGACACGGCCCAAACUCCUACGGGAGGCAGCAGUGGGGAAUAUUGCACAAUGGGGGAAACCCUGAUGCAGCAACGCCGCGUGAAGGAAGAAGUAUUUCGGUAUGUAAACUUCUAUCAGCAGGAAAGAAAAUGACGGUACCUGACUAAGAAGCCCCGGCUAACUACGUGCCAGCAGCCGC